AUUGAACGCUGGCGGCAGGCCUAACACAUGCAAGUCGAACGAGUGGCGGACGGGUGAGUAAUUUCUGGGAAACUGCCUGAUGGAGGGUGAUAACUACUGGAAACGUUAGCUAAUACCGCAUACCAUCAUAUGUGCCCAGAUGGGCUUAGCUAGUUGGUGGGGUAACGGCUACCCAAGGCGACGAUCCCUAGCUGGUCUGAGAGGAUGACCGGCCACACUGGAACUGAGACACGGCCCAGAAUCCUACGGGAGGCAGCAGUGGGGAAUAUUCGACAAUGGACGCAAGCCUGAUGAAGCCACGCCGCGGGAAUGAAGAAGGUCUUCGGGUUGUAAAGUACUUUCAGCGGGGAGGCGUUACCCGAAGAAGAAGCAACGGCUAACUCCGUGCCAGCAGCCGCGGUAAUAC
rnacentral:rRNA from 1 species